rfam:Neotoma lepida isolate 417 scaffold_9216, whole genome shotgun sequence.
GGGGAUGUAGUACAGUUGGUAGAAUACUUGCUUACCAUGCAUGGAGCCCUGGGUUUAAUUCCCAGCACCA